GAUGAAGAACGUAGCGAAACGCGAUAGUUAAUGUGAAUUGCAGAAUUCAGUGAAUCAUCGAGUCUUUGAACGCACAUUGCGCCCAUCGGUAUUCCGUUGGGCAUGUCUGUUUGAGCGUCAUCACAACCCUCGACUCCUGUCGGUUAUGAGCCCGCCCGGUGAAACACCCGAGCCGGCUUCAAAUUUGUGAGCUCUGCUGGCUGUCGCGCCUGACCGAGACAUAGUAAGUCCUACUUGUCGUGGUGAGGCGGGAGCGGUUCGGCCUGAACAAAACCUACCCAUUCUAAGGUUUGACCUCAGAUCAGACAAGGAUACCCGCUGAACUUAAGCAUAUCAAUAAGCGGAGGA
rnacentral:misc_RNA from 1 species